UGCCAGUUAACAUGAACUUGAUGUGAGACAGCAGCUAACACAUGUCUUUCUUCUUGCGUUGGGCUAACACCACACCCCACUUCCUUCGGAGGGUGUGUGACACUUUACAAAGAAAAUACAGUAUUGAGUAGUAUCACCACAGCAAGCGGAAAUGGCAGUACUCAGUCCUCAGACAAGUCACCAGUUUUGUACCCGGAAUUCACAUGGACUCGUUUAACUGCUAGCAAGAGCAGGUGAUGGUGGUCUGGGUCACUGCCAUCAAAUGAAGGAUGCUGCAGUACAGGCAGUGUGGCCCAGGGACACUCAAUGAACAGCCUUUACCACGGCCUGUUCCAGACCUCCUGCAGUGGUACCAAUCAUCAUCCCAAACCUGCAACCAUCUUGGAUUCCAGAGGAACCACCUGUGACUCGCUCACCUGCUAAGUAGGAGCGAUCAUCUCAUGGGAAUCAGACUCAUCCGUCAAGCAGUGAGGACUCCUCUGGAGCCACCUCAGAAAUCAGCUAGAAAUCAGAUGGGGACACAAUCUCAGACAGACCAGGUGAUUUAUCCAACACUGCAUAACUAGCCACAGCCGAAUGGGAAACAGAACUCAAGAGCCACAGCUAGCCAAGAGUAUGCUGUGGCCAAGUCUCCUUCCUCGGCCCCUCUGAAAGCUCAUAGGGUUUUUUGUCUCCUGUAACCUAAGUGCAGUUCUAUUAAUAAUUAUUUUUAAUUACAUCUUAU